GGCCUCUUGUUUAUAUAUGAGGUCUGACCUGCCCGGUGAAAAUUAUUUUAACGGCCGCAGUAUUUUGACUGUGCAAAGGUAGCAUAAUCAUUAGUCUUUUAAUAGGGGGCUGGUAUGAAGGGUUUGACGAGGUGUUGACUGUCUCAUUUAAUUUGUAUUUAGAAUUUAACUUUUCAGUCAAAAGGCUGAAAUUAUAUUGGAAGACGAGAAGACCCUAUAGAGCUUUAUAAUUGAUGCAUUAAUUAUUUUUUGUUAUAUCAUUUAUUAUUAUUGUUUUAAUUAUUUUGUUGGGGUGACAAAAAUAUAUAAUUAACUUUUUUAUUUAAAUUAACAUUGAUUUAUGAGUAUUAGAUCCAUUAUUAUUGAUUGUUAGAUUAAGUUACC
rnacentral:rRNA from 1 species